CCUACGGGAGGCAGCAGUAAGGAAUAUUGGGCAAUGGAGGCAACUCUGACCCAGCCAUGCCGCGUGAAGGAUGAAGGCCCUAUGGGUUGUAAACUUCUUUUGUACGGGAAUAAACCUGGUUACGUGUAACCAGUUGAAUGUACCGUAAGAAUAAGCACCGGCUAACUCCGUGCCAGCAGCCGCGGUAAUACGGAGGGUGCAAGCGUUAUCCGGAUUUAUUGGGUUUAAAGGGAGCGUAGGCGGGAUUGUAAGUCAGUGGUGAAAGCCCGUAGCUCAACUACGGAACUGCCAUUGAUACUGCAGACCUAGAGUACACUUGAGGUGGGCGGAAUGUGUCAUGUAGCGGUGAAAUGCUUAGAUAUGACACAGAACACCAAUUGCGAAGGCAGCUCACUAAAUUGUAACUGACGCUGAGGCUCGAUAGCGUGGGGAUCAAACAGGAUUAGAUACCCUGGUAGUCCACGCCGUAAACGAUGAUUACUCGAUGUUGGCGAUACACUGUCAGCGUCUGAGACGAAGACGAUUAAGUAAUACCACCGUCGGGUAAGGUACGGUCGGUUCGAAGACGUUAGUUAAACGUUAAAGUUAAGUUAAGUUAGUACGGGACGUUGAGGACGUUGCCGAACGGACGACCGACCGAGGGGAGGUUAGGAGG
rnacentral:rRNA from 1 species